rfam:Triticum urartu cultivar G1812 contig1119518, whole genome shotgun sequence.
UUUCUACUCCCUCCGUCCAAAAAUACUUGUCAUCAAAAUGGAUAGAAAGAGAUAUAUCUAAAACUAAAAUAUGUCUAGAUACAUUUCCUUUUAUCCAUUUUAAUGCCAAGUAUUUCCGGACGGAGGGAGUAUUUG